AGUGAUACAUCUUGGCUUCCUCUACCAGGUGUCGACAUUCAGAAGACUGGCGCACUACUGCCUGACUUUCCACACAGUCAUGCAGGAAGUAGGGGCUCAGUAGAGGCAAGCGGACAUGCUCUAACACCUGCACAUAGGGUCCUUUAGUCUCUAUCCAAGAUGCACUGCGUUCAGGUGAUAUACUUCUUGAGGAAGACAUCUGUGGUACUCUUCAGACUACAUACAGGAUAUGAAAGAUUAUUUACUUCACUGUUGGGCCAUCUCCAAAAUCAAUAUAGGAAGAAAACUGGAUUUACAAGGAGAUGGGCAGAACAGGAAACCCACUAAUUCUGGAUAAGUAUGAGAACAGAAUCAGUUUCAGGAGCAGCUUCUUCAACAGAAUAAUCACCAGUAGACCAAUUACUAGUCUUGAGGAACACCAAACUCAGCCCAAGGCUUUGGUCCUGACCGCGCAGGCAGUAUGUUCCUCUGAAAUGUUACCAACAUAGCCCACUCCCAUUU